UACAGAGGCCUCGAGCGUUAGGCGGAAUCACUGGGCUUAAAGCGGGUGUAGGCGGAUGUCUAAGUGUCUUGUGAAAUCCCACGGCUCAACCGUGGAACUGCUGGGCAUACUGGACAUCUCGAGGCACUCAGGGGCGAGCGGAACAAGUGGUGGAGCGGUGAAAUGCGUAGAUAUCACUUGGAACGCCACUGGUGAAGACAGCUCGCUGGGGGUGUCCUGACGCUGAGGCGCGAAAGCCAGGGGAGCGAACGGG
rnacentral:rRNA from 1 species